rnacentral:rRNA from 1 species
AGUGAACGCUGGCGGCGUGCCUAAUACAUGCAAGUCGAACGGAGUGGCGCACGGGUGAGUAAUAUAUAGCUAAUCUGCCCCUUGCUGGAGGACAACCGUUAGAAAUGACUGCUAAUACUCCAUAGCAAGGGAUGAGACUAUAUCGUAUCAGCUAGUCGGUGGGGUAACGGCCUACCGAGGCUAUGACGCGUAACUGGUCUGAGAGGAGGAUCAGUCACAAUGGAACUGAGACCCGGUCCAAACUCCUACGGGAUGCAGCAGUAGGGAAUAUUGCGCAAUGGGGGAAACCCUGACGGAGCAACGCCGCGGGAGUGAUGACGGCCUUCGGGUUGUAAAGCUCUGUUAAUCGGGACGCGGUACCGGAAUAGAAAGCCACGGCUAACUACGUGCCAGCAGCCGCGGUAAUAC